AAGAUAGGCAUCGAGCAAAUCUGACAAGUCCAAGUCUGAGGUGAGCGACAAGGACGACGACAACGAGGGUGACUAGUGAUGCGGCACACCAAGCAACAGUGGGGGAAGGGGGUCUCUAGAAUGUCGCCGUUGCCGCUUAUUGCUGAAGUCACCAAUUUAUGAUGGAUGGUCGUUGUUAGUUUAGCUCCUUGGUAGUCCCUCUUUCAAGCAGCUGCAGUUGGUAGAAAUGGUAGCUACCGUGUCCCAUGUAGUUCAUGUUCUCAAACUGCCCUUUGUUGCUUCAUUUUGAUGUUAGUUUAGUCUCUGUUGAAUGUACCUACUGUGUGCUCGUGGCUGUUUCAAAAGUCCUUUCAUGUUGAAAGAAAUAAAAUGCUCUCGCUACUUGUUCGAA